rnacentral:ncRNA from 1 species
GUCCUCUCGUGCCGUAAGGUGUUGGGUUAAGUCUCGCAACGAGCGCAACCCUCGUGUUUAGUUGCCAUAUGAGUUUGGAACCCUGAACAGACCGCCGGUGUUAAGCCGGAGGUGGAGUAGUUACAC